UCAGUCAAAGAGGGUAAAAACCCCGUAGACGAAAUGUGGAAGACACCUAGGAGGAUCCUGAGUACGGCGGAACACGAGAAAUUCCGUCGGAAUCCGGGAGGACCAUCUCCCAAGGCUAAAUACUCCCUAGUGACCGAUAGUGAACCAGUACCGUGAGGGAAAGGUGAAAAGCACCCCGGAAGGGGAGUGAAAUAGAACCUGAAACCGUGUGCCUACAACAAGUCAAAGCCCGUUAAUGGGUGAUGGCGUGCCUUUUGUAGAAUGAACCGGCGAGUUACGAUUGCAUGCGAGGUUAAGUUGAAGAGACGGAGCCGCAGCGAAAGCGAGUCUGAAUAGGGCGUUUGAGUAUGUAGUCGUAGACCCGAAACCAUGUGAUCUACCCAUGUCCAGGUUGAAGGUGCGGUAAAACGCACUGGAGGACCGAACCCACGUACGUUGAAAAGUGCGGGGAUGAGGUGUGGGUAGCGGAGAAAUUCCAAACGAACUUGGAGAUAGCUGGUUCUCUCCGAAAUAGCUUUAGGGCUAGCCUCGGAAUUGAGAAUGAUGGAGGUAGAGCACUGUUUGGACUAGGGGCCCAUCUCGGGUUACCGAAUUCAGAUAAACUCCGAAUGCCAUUCAUUCAUAUCCGGGAGUCAGACUGUGAGUGAUAAGAUCCAUAG
rnacentral:rRNA from 1 species